rnacentral:rRNA from 1 species
GAUGAACGCUGGCGGCGUGCCUAAUACAUGCAAGUCGAGCGAACAGACGAGGAGCUUGCUCCUCUGACGUUAGCGGCGGACGGGUGAGUAACACGUGGAUAACCUACCUAUAAGACUGGGAUAACUUCGGGAAACCGGAGCUAAUACCGGAUAAUAUAUUGAACCGCAUGGUUCAAUAGUGAAAGACGGUUUUGCUGUCACUUAUAGAUGGAUCCGCGCCGCAUUAGCUAGUUGGUAAGGUAACGGCUUACCAAGGCAACGAUGCCUAGCCGACCUGAGAGGGUGAUCGGCCAAACUGGAACUGAGACACGGUCCAGACUCCUACGGGAGGCAGCAGUAGGGAAUCUUCCGCAAUGGGCGAAAGCCUGACGGAGCAACGCCGCGGGAGUGAUGAAGGUCUUCGGAUCGUAAAACUCUGUUAUUAGGGAAGAACAAAUGUGUAAGUAACUAUGCACGUCUUGACGGUACCUAAUCAGAAAGCCACGGCUAACUACGUG